CACCCAACAGCUAGCCCCUCAUUUAAAUACAACAAUUCAAUAUAAAUAACCCCUAACACAUAAAAUCUCAAUAAACAAACCAUUUUUCCUCCUAAGUAUGGGCGACAGAAAAGGAGCUAUGGAGCUAUAGAAAAAGUACCGCAAGGGAACGCUGAAAGAGAAAUGAAACAAACCAGUAAAGUACUAAAAAGCAGAGAUUUAAACUCGUACCUUUKGCAUCAUGAUUUAGHUAGAAAAAWUACAAAGCAAAGAGCACUUUAGUUUGCUUCKCCSGAAACUAAGUGAGCUACUCCAAGACAGCCUAAUCAAUAGGGCCAACCCGUCUCUGUGGCAAAAAGAGUGGGAAGAGCUUAGAGUAGAGGUGACAGACCUACCGAACUUAGUUAUAGCUGGUUGCUUGAGAAUUGAAUAGAAGUUCAGCCUCUUGAUUUCUUCAUUCCAUUAGCAACUGCUUAUCCCGAUGACCUAAGAAAUUAAGAGAGUUAGUUAAAGGGGGUACAGCCCCUUUAAAUCAAGACACAACUUUUCUAGAUGGGUAAAGAUCAUAAUAACCAAGGCAAAAUGUUCUAGUGGGCCUAAAAGCAGCCACCUAUAAGAAAGCGUUAAAGCUCAGACAUUUCUCACAAAGCCUUUAAUUCCGAUAAUUAAUCUCAUCCCUCUUUAUAUAUCAAGCCGCCCCAUGCAAACAUGGGAGUGACCAUGCUAAUAUGAGUAAUAAGAAACAACGACUUUCUCCUUGCACAUGUGUAACUCAGAACGGACUCCCCACCGAAUAUUACCGGCCCCAAACAAAGAGGGUAAUGAAUAACAAAUAAACAACUAGAAAACCACCCAACUACUUACCGUUAACCCCACACAGGUGUGCCCUCAAGGAAAGACUAAAAGAAAAAGAAGGAACUCGGCAAACAUUAAGCCUCGCCUGUUUACCAAAAACAUCGCCUCUUGCAAAAGUAAAGAAUAAGAGGUCCCGCCUGCCCUGUGACAAAAAGUUUAACGGCCGCGGUAUUUUGACCGUGCAAAGGUAGCGCAAUCACUUGUCUUUUAAAUGAAGACCUGUAUGAAUGGCAUAACGAGGGCUUUACUGUCUCCUUUUUCAAGUCAAUGAAAUUGAUCUCUCCGUGCAGAAGCGGGGAUAAAACCAUAAGACGAGAAGACCCUAUGGAGCUUUAGACACCAAAGCAGAUCUUGUUAAGAACACUUAAACAAAAGACUAAACCAAAAGAACCCUGCCCUAAUGUCUUUGGUUGGGGCGACCGCGGGGAAACAAAAAACCCCCAUGUGGACUGAGAAUACAUUCUCAAAACCAAGAGCCACAGCUCUAAUUAACAGAACUUCUGACCUUAAGAUCCGGCAAUGCCGAUCAACGGACCGAGUUACCCUAGGGAUAACAGCGCAAUCCUCUUUUAGAGCCCAUAUCGACAAGGGGGUUUACGACCUCGAUGUUGGAUCAGGACAUCCUAAUGGUGCAGCCGCUAUUAAGGGUUCGUUUGUUCAACGAUUAAAGUCCUACGUGAUCUGAGUUCAGACCGGAGUAAUCCAGGUCAGUUUCUAUCUAUGUGAUGAUCUUUUCUAGUACGAAAGGACCGAAAAGAAGAGGCCUAUGCUUAAAGCACGCCUUACCCCUACCUAAUGAAAACAACUAAAUUAGGCAAAAGGGCAUACCCUUUAUGUCUAAGAAAAUGACAU
rnacentral:rRNA from 1 species